rnacentral:rRNA from 1 species
GCAAGUCGAGGGGCAUCACGGGAGUAGCAAUAACAACUGGUGGCGACCGGCGCGACGGGUGAGUAACGCGUAUGCAACCUACCUAUCAGAGGGGAAUAACCCGGCGAAAGUCGGACUAAUACCGCAUAAAACAGGGGCACCGCAUGGUGAUAUUUGUUAAAGAAAUUCGCUGAUAGAUGGGCAUGCGUUCCAUUAGGUAGUUGGUGAGGUAACGGCUCACCAAGCCGACGAUGGAUAGGGGAACUGAGAGGUUGGUCCCCCACACUGGUACUGAGACACGGACCAGACUCCUACGGGAGGCAGCAGUGAGGAAUAUUGGUCAAUGGGCGGGAGCCUGAACCAGCCAAGUCGCCGUGAAGGAAGAAGGAUCUAUGGUUCGUAAACUUCUUUUGCGAGGGGAAUAAAGUGCAGGACGUGUCCUGUUUUGUAUGUACCCUGAGAAUAAGGAUCGGCUAACUCCGUGCCAGCCGCGGC